rnacentral:rRNA from 1 species
AUUGAACGCUGGCGGCAUGCCUUACACAUGCAAGUCGAACGGUAACGGGCCUUCGGGUGCCGACGAGUGGCGAACGGGUGAGUAAUACAUCGGAACGUGCCCGAUCGUGGGGGAUAACGAGGCGAAAGCUUUGCUAAUACCGCAUACGAUCUACGGAUGAAAGCAGGGGACCGCAAGGCCUUGCGCGGACGGAGCGGCCGAUGGCAGAUUAGGUAGUUGGUGGGAUAAAAGCUUACCAAGUCGACGAUCUGUAGCUGGUCUGAGAGGAUGAUCAGCCACACUGGGACUGAGACACGGCCCAGACUCCUACGGGAGGCAGCAGUGGGGAAUUUUGGACAAUGGGCGCAAGCCUGAUCCAGCCAUGCCGCGUGCAGGAUGAAGGCCUUCGGGUUGUAAACUGCUUUUGUACGGAACGAAAAGCCUUCUUUUAAUACAGGAGGGUCAUGACGGUACCGUAAGAAUAAGCACCGGCUAACUACGUG